rnacentral:rRNA from 1 species
AUUGAACGCUGGCGGCAGGCCUAACACAUGCAAGUCGAGCGGAGCGGCGGACGGGUGCGUAAUGCUUAUGAAUCUGCCUGUUCGUGGGGGAUAACGUCCGGUAACGGGAGCUAAUACCGCAUCCUCUCACAUGAGCCUAGGUCGGAUUGGCUAGUUGGUGGGGUAAGGGCCUACCAAGGCGACGAUCCGUAACUGGUCUGAGAGGAUGAUCAGUCAAACUGGAACUGAGACACGGUCCAGACUCCUACGGGAGGCAGCAGUGGGGAAUAUUGGACAAUGGGCGAAAGCCUGAUGCAGCCAUGCCGCGUGUGUGAAGAAGGUCUUCGGAUUGUAAAGCACUUUAAGUUGGGAGGCGUUACCAGCAGAAUAAGCACCGGCUAACUUCGUGCCAGCAGCCGCGGUAAUAC